rnacentral:rRNA from 1 species
AGAACGAACGCUGGCGGCAUGGAUUAGGCAUGCAAGUCGAACGAAGCAGCAAUGCUUAGUGGCGGAAGGGUGAGGAACGCGUGAGUAAUCUGCCCUCAAGUUGGGAAUAACAGCUGGAAACGGCUGCUAAUACCGAAUGUGGCUGCAAGACCGCAUGAUUUUGCAGUUAAAGAUUUAUUGCUUGAGGAUGAGCUCGCGUCCCAUUAGCUAGUUGGUGAGGCAACGGCUCACCAAGGCGAUGAUGGGUAGCUGGUCUGAGAGGAUGGUCAGCCACACUGGGACUGAGACACUGCCCAGACUCCUACGGGAGGCUGCAGUCGAGAAUCUUGGGCAAUGCGCGAAAGCGUGACCCAGCAAUGCCGCGUGCGCGAUGAAGGUCUUCGGAUUGUAAAGCGCUGUCAACCGGGACGAAAAAUGACGGUACCGGUGGAGGAAGCCACGGCUAACUACGUGCCAGCCGCCGC